ACAGUGGUGAGGCAUCAUGCCCAUGGCAUGGGGCUCCUGCAUUCCUUCUUGGGAAUUCCUUUUCCACGAGACGCUGUCCUGAAAUGCAGUAGCUCAAAUUGUGUCUCAGAAGACGGUCCCUCAAGACUGCACACUUGGCACCAAGUGGGGCAGGUCAGAAAUGUACACUCUUUUAUUAACCUAUUUCCUCUUCUAUUUCCCUUUCUCCUCAUUUCCUGAGAUAAGCUUUGCCUCAGGCUCUCUUUACUAGAGGAUUCACGAUGCAGUCUCGCUCUGUCACCCAGGCUGAAGUACAAUGGCGUGAUCUCGGCUCACCACAACCUCUGCCUUCCAGGUUCAAGGGAUUCUCCUGCCUCAGUCUCCUGAGUAGUGGGAUUACAGGCAUGUGCCACCACGCCCAGCUGAUUUUGGCAGUCGUUUUAAUAGCAUUAUACUAAUGGAUAUGAAUUGAUAUCACAUUGUGGUUUUAAUUUUUCUGAAGAUUGCUAGUAUUGAGCAUCUUUCCAUGUGUGUAUUGGCCAUUUGUGUAUCCAGUUUUGCAAAGUAUCUGUUCAAAUAUUUUGCCCAUUUUUAAAUUUUGUU